rnacentral:rRNA from 1 species
CCUACGGGGUGCAGCAGUGAGGAAUAUUGGUCAAUGGACGCAAGUCUGAACCAGCCAUGCCGCGUGCAGGAAGACGGCUCUAUGAGUUGUAAACUGCUUUUGUACGAGGGUAAACCCCGAUACGUGUAUCGGGUUGAAAGUAUCGUACGAAUAAGGAUCGGCUAACUCCGUGCCAGCAGCCGCGGUAAUACGGAGGAUCCAAGCGUUAUCCGGCUUUAUUGGGUGUAAAGGGUGCGUAGGAGGUGUGAGAAUUUCGAGGUGAAAGCCCGGGGCGCACCUCCGGAACUGCCUCUAAUACUGUCGGGCUAGAGUUUAGUUGCGGUAGGCGGAAUGUAUGGUGUAGCGGUGAAAUGCAUAGAGAUCAUACAGAACACCGAUUGCGAAGGCAGCUUACCAAACUACGACUGACGUUGAGGCACGAAAGCGUGGGGAGCAAACAGGAUUAGAUACCCCAGUAGUC